AGCAGUUUUAUUAUCUAACUUUUUUUUAAAGACAUCGAACUUGUCUUCUUUUUUAAUCAAACACAUGUAACUUUGCAGUUCAUUAUGUUGUUAUUGUAUUACUGUUACUAAUAUUACUCCUCUCAUUGUUAUAGUGGACCUGAUCCUUGCUACGGGCUGGUAGCAAUGUCAUAUGAUUAGCUCUAGCAACCGGUUUGCAUAUUUGAGGGGAAUGGGACGUUUGAGAGAGAUGGUCCUCACCUGUGCCUCUUUCCCUCUCUUUUGUCUUCCCUUUCAACACCCUCACUUCGCCCCAGCAAGGACCUGGGGUGACAAAUAUUUUUAUUAAUUUCAAUGAGGGAUAACAAAAAGAGGGUUGACAUUUGUAUUCGUUUUAAGUGUAAUAAGUAUGUUUUUGGACAACCCUGAAAACCGCUCUCUCUCUCUCACUCCCCUGCUAGUAAGGUUUGAUUCUAUAGCCUCCUCCUUCCUCCCUCUUUUCCUUCCAUUCAUCCUUCCUUACUGUUCUCUCUAGAUCUUUUUUUGGGGUGGGAGGAGGUAAGCCUGGAGGGGGCAGGGCAGUAUAUAGAGUGGUAGGGUAUAAUAUUGGUUGUCUUUGUGCAAGACCUGGUUGUUGUACAUAUUAUUUACUGUAGUCAGGAGACUCACUAUAAUAUUAAGGAACAAUGUGUACCUGACUUGUAUUGACUUUUAAAAGACGACAUUACACAACGUCAAACUCCCAAAAUUGACAAAUUAUUAUUAACGUUUUACUCCUUGUUUUACUGAGAUACAGUUUGCAAGAUAAACUUAAAUUAUUCAUAAAUGUACAUCUAUCUUUCAGUAUACAAAUAAAUGUUCAAGGUAACAUAUUUUUCACUAGUUUUUAAUGUACACACAGCUGAACCACCAAUUAUUGAUGAUUUAUUAUUAUCCAACUAUACUGAACAAAAAUAUAAACGCAACAUGUAAAGUGUUGGUCCCAUGUUUCAUGAACGGAAAUAAAAUAUCCCAGAAAUGUUCCAA
ensembl:lncRNA